rnacentral:rRNA from 1 species
CCUACGGGUGGCAGCAGUGGGGAAUAUUGGACAAUGGGGGGAACCCUGAUCCAGCCAUGCCGCGUGUGUGAAGAAGGCCCUCGGGUUGUAAAGCACUUUCAGUGAGGAAGAACGCCUGGUGGUUAAUACCCAUCAGGAAAGACAUCACUCACAGAAGAAGCACCGGCUAACUCCGUGCCAGCAGCCGCGGUAAUACGGAGGGUGCGAGCGUUAAUCGGAAUUACUGGGCGUAAAGCGCGCGUAGGUGGCUUGAUAAGCCGGUUGUGAAAGCCCCGGGCUCAACCUGGGAACGGCAUCCGGAACUGUCUAGCUAGAGUGCAGGAGAGGAAGGUAGAAUUCCCGGUGUAGCGGUGAAAUGCGUAGAGAUCGGGAGGAAUACCCGUGGCGAAGGCGGCCUUCUGGACUGACACUGACACUGAGGUGCGAAGGCGUGGGUAGCAAACAGGAUUAGCUACCCUUGUAGUC